GUGUCAGCGCUUUGUAACAGCCAGAGGUCAAGCUGGAACUUUUAAGUUUUACGACAUCUUCAGGACGGACGAGUUUACGCUUCUUUCGCGGAUCCUCACGAGAGAAUGGAGAGAUUCUGUCAGUCUGAUGAGUAGCUAAAGAGACGAGUGGACAUGGUGUCUUGGAGUGUGUGCGUGUGUGUGUGUGUGUGUGUGUGUGUAUGUGUUACCUGUAACCAUCGAUGCAGCUGGCGUUGAUGUAGUCGGACCCCUCCACGCCUCUGAUUGGCUGCAGACACACACGCGUCGACUCGAACGGCAUGAUGUUCACCAGUCGGUUCUUGAACUUGUUGCACGGCAGGUUGGCGCUGAUGAAGCGUGAUGUGUGAGCUCUGGAGUUGGCCAGCCUCUGCACACACACACACACACAGAUUUUUAAUACCAUUAAUUAAGAAUAAUAAUAAUAAUAAUAAUAAUAAUAAUAAUCCUGUACAGCGAAGGACGACAGAAUCACGACUGCACAGCAGACUUCAGCUCCCCCUAGUGACCUUAAACUCGAGCUCCAUGGAGCUGACGGUGUCUCCGGGCGGGGGCUGGCUCAGUUUUUGGAUGUGUGUGUAGAGGUUUCGUGCCGGGACCUCGGUGACGCCGCAGGUCGCCGCCUCCAGCAGCGCCUCGUGGAUGAAGAUGUAUUGAUCCUCCGUCUGCACCAUGUAGUUCCUCUGAGAGCGCAUGCACGUCACGUGGCCGUAAAUGUCCACCGUCUUCUCGUGCUUCAUGCGCUCCAGCAUGGCGUCGAUCACGAUGAGGCAGCCGGUGCGACCCACGCCGGCACUGACGGGUUAAAACAAACAAACAAAAAAAAAAACCCAGAUUCAA